CAGCUCCACGAGUGGCAAUCACAAUUACUGGGCCUAAAGCGUCCGUAGCCUGUCUGAUAAAUCUCUUGUGAAAUCGUUGCGCUCAACGUAACGGCGUGCAGGGGACACUGUCAGACUCGGAACCGGGAGGAGUUAGAGGUAUGUUCGGGGUAGCGGUAAAAUGUUAUAAUCCCGAGUGGACCACCUGUGGCGAAGGCGUCUAACUAGAACGGAUUCGACGGUGAGGGACGAAGGCUGGGGGAGCAAAACGGAUUAGAUACCCGAGUAGUCC
rnacentral:rRNA from 1 species